UACAGAGGGUGCGAGCGUUGUCCGGAAUCACUGGGCGUAAAGAGCUCGUAGGCGGUCUGUCGCGUCGGCUGUGAAAACCCGAGGCUCAACCUCGGGCCUGCAGUCGAUACGGGCAAACUAGAGUACUGCAGGGGAGACUGGAAUUCCUGGUGUAGCGGUGAAAUGCGUAGAUAUCAGGAGGAACACCGGUGGCGAAGGCGGGUCUCUGGGAAACAACUGACGCUGAGGAACGAAAGCGUGGGUAGCAAACGGG
rnacentral:rRNA from 1 species